AACGUAGGACGCAAGCGUUAUCCGGAGUUACUGGGCGUAAAGCGCGAGCAGGCGGCUUGAUGCGUCCGAUGUGAAAGCGCCCCGGCUAAACCGGGCGAGGCCAUUGGAAACGGUCAAGCUGGAGGGCAGUAGAGGCAGGCGGAAUUCCGGGUGGAGUGGUGAAAUGCGUAGAGAUCCGGAGGAACACCAGAGGCGAAGGCGGCCUGCUGGGCUGCACCUGACGCUGAGCCGCGAAAGCCAGGGAGCGAACGGG
rnacentral:rRNA from 1 species